CCUUACACAAAUUUCAACUUUUGCAUUGAUAAAUAGGUGAUGUUCUUUCGUUCACGGAGUUGAGAGCUUCGCAACCAUCCGAUUAGAUUCUCGUUCUUCAACGGGGUUUGAUUGGGUUCUCUUUGAGUUGGGCACUCUUGAAUCAAGUUGUGAGCUUAGCUAUGAAACCCUAAGAGAUGGAUGAGGUGCCUCUGGAGCAAG
rnacentral:sRNA from 1 species